UGUCAAAUGCCCUUGAGAGUAGUGCAUAGAUCUGGAAAACCAUGGCAUUCUGUGGUACCAAAGAAAGCAAACUUGUCACAUUACCAGGGGGAUUGAAUUGGUGAAAGAGAAUGUGAAGGGGGAAAAGUAAAGAAGUUUACCUGAAAGGUGACAGAGGCAAGGGGAGCAGCCAUGCCCCUGUAGAGUGCCCGGGGACCUUCAGAGCCAACAACCCCACGUAGGAUGCUGUAAGCCGAACCUCCUGCUCCUGAUUGCUGCUGCCGGAUUCUGAUUGUGUCGAGGGGAUAACCAGCUAUGAUACCGGCUGUUCCCCCAAAUCCUCCGGCCACAAACUCUUUCCCCCAACUGCUUGCAAGAAACUCCGGCCAGAAAUCCAUCACUCCUUCCUCCUUACCAUUCCCCAACCAAAACAAGCAAAGCUCAACAGAACUAGGUAAGCACUAAGAUCUCACUUGUUAGGCUUUAUGGGUAUCUGCUGCCACUCUCCGUAUCCAAUCUUCCAAUGUAU